rnacentral:misc_RNA from 1 species
UUUAGAGAAUCUGAGCCUUAUUUUUCUGUCAAGUCACCUCUUCAGGAGGAGCAUAAGGAGGGAGAGGAAGAGGUGCUUUUUCCUAAUCAGGCUAUUAGGCUUUGGUCACAUCUUAAUAAUGAGCUAUCUAACUAGGACCACCUCAGGGGAGACUGUUAAACUUGGGUCACAUCUUGGUAAUGAACCACUUGACUAGGACCAACCGCCUCCUUAAACCCAAGGAGAUUGAAUAGAUUGGAUUUGAG